CCCCAAAGCACUCUGGGUGGGCAGCGGUUCCUCUGUUUCUCAUUGGCUCCCUCUCUCUCAAUCAGCAGAUUGUCUCCACCCUCCUCUGCUCAUUUCCUGUCUGUAAGUCACCAACAGCAGUGUAAGCAAGGGGAGGUUUUAACAGUCUGCUCUCAACCCUUGCCUAAAAAUGUGACUUCUCAUGUUUUUAGGCAAGAUUCCAGAAGCAAUCUUGAUAGGAAAAAGAGACAGCCUCUUCACAGACAGAAUAUAUCAUUCUUUUAUCUAUGUUCACCCAAUCAGGGCUCUUUCCUGGAAAUGAUGUUUGAGAAGAUCUUGAUGAGAGCCUUGGAGUCUGUGGUUUCCCAGAGGCACAAGAUUUGUGCCUUUAAGUAAGCCGGCAUCCUACUAAAAGGUGGUAUUGAAAAAUUCCAAGAAAUGGCUUACUGUCUACCUGUUACGGUUAUCCCCGUAUUCCCAAUUCCUCUUUUGGAUUUGAGUUUCUCCAGCAGCUACCUCAAAUAAGCGUUCUUACUUGAAAAGAAAAGGAAAAGAAAGAAAAAUGCAGUGUUUAGGAGGAGGUGGCCGCGUUCUGAUCUUCACCACCUCUCUGCACUUAGGGAAUGAACCACAGGUGGGAAGUAGCUUUCAUAAGUCAAUUCACCUGAGUCAGUUUGAGUUUGGCCGCGUUCCCCUUCUGGUCCUGAGGUCACAGGAAAAAGGAGGAGCCUUUUGAUGAGAGGAACUGGGGUGUUUGAGGUGAUGAAAGUUUGAGGGCAGCCAGAAGAUAGUGGGAACACACAAAACUUUUGCCAAGAAGGCAGCUGUCUGUGCACCAUGCCUGUGGCCCUUCAUUUUUCUGACUUCUGUCUUCACUCCUGCUGUUCCUCGGCGAUAAGGGUUGUAUCCCUGGUCCUGGAAGAUCCCACGUGCUGAGAAGCAGCUAAACCGGUGCCCCACAACUAUUGAGACUGUGCUCUCGAGCCCGGGAACUGUGACCACAUGCCGAAACUACAGCCGGUGCAGCCUACAGCCUGUGCUCCGCAGCAAGAGCAGCCACCGCAACAGGUACUGAUGAUGGACCCUAAGUGGACAGCUGGAAGUCCAGAAGACAGGACAAAACAUCUGUCGGCAUCUCCCAUACUGAACAUGGAACAUGAGUGAGAAAUAAACCUCUGUUAUAAAAGUCGCUUCGAUUCGGGGCUGUUACUGCAGAAUCCUCUAGCCCAUCCUGGCUGAUCAAGGGAGGCUGUCGGGGCUGGUGAGGCAGGACAGCUCUGGUGCUGGCAACAAAUCAGAAAAGAUCAAAGCUGAGGCUUCGACUACACAAAGGGCUCCGUGCCAGGGAGGGACAGAUAGUGGCCGUGGGAUGGAAGGGUCUGGAUGUCUGCAGGACUGGCCCAAAUAGACCCUUUGAGAUAGAAAAGAAGCUAGAAAUUGUCAUUAGAGAUGAUAGCCUUACCUAACGACAGAAUGGGCUCUGGUGCCACGGCUCUUUCCUCUGCUUCCUGAGCAAGUUACACUGCACUUCAGUGUCCUUUUCUAUAAAGUGAAGACAGCAGCACCUAUGUGUAGGGUUGUUGCUGGGGCUAAAUGAGUUACCCACAUGUGAGUUAACACGUGUGCUUAGAACGCGUAUAAUGUACUACCCACAUGUAAUGAGGUACCACAGGAGCUUAUGAGGUGUGUAUCCGACUCACUACAGGUGCUCAAUACACAUUAUUCCUCAGUAUUUUCUUCCCAAGGCUCCCAACUUGCAGAUAAUAAAACUGAGUUCCAGACAGGCUCUAAGACUUCCUAGAGAUGACAUGGCCAACUGACAGCACAGAAGGCCUCCCCCACAGCCAGCCAGGAAACGGGCUGACUCUGCACGCCGU
ensembl:lncRNA